AUUUUCUUUUUUAAAAUGAUAAUAACUAAAAUAAACUAUUAAACAAAAACUAAUUAAAAUAUACUAUUUUAGAAGAUAAAUAAAAUCUAAACAAAGAAAACCCUAAAUCCUAAAACGUUGAAAUCCUUAAUUCCCAGCCCUCCUCACCGUUCUACAGAAGAACCAAAAGUCGAGUUCAGGCGAUUACUGACCCUGAGGAUAUCUUUCCUCAGGCGCGAUAGUUGACCCAGACCGACGCCGGAAGAGACGAAGAAACAACAAACCGAACUUAUACCAACAUACCCAUUACUCCAUUACCCAAAUUCAGGUCAAUGCUCCAUUCUCUCUUCCUAAGAAAUAUCACCAUUUUAAAGAGAGACUAUGUGUGUAUAAUACUGAGGGACAUCAUUGAGAAUUGUUUUCUCUUCACUCCUUCUAGUCUAUUUUAAUUUGUUAUAUAGUUUUUGUGAUAGAAAAACUAGCUGUAAUACCUAGACCGGUGGACCCAAUUAGAGGAAACGGAGGAGACGGAAUGGAGAUGAAGAAACAGAAGCCCGAUGAAGCACCACCCAUGUAUGGUGAGGAUAGUGAGUAUUUCACUGUCAAGUUUCGCCAUGGAGGCAUGUGGUUCUUUCCUUUUGGCAAUAGAAACUACCAUGAUGGUGAAAUCUCAUACCAGAACAUGAAUGAGGUUGGCGGACUUUGUAGAAUGAUUUUGGAAGAUAUUGGACUAAUGGAGGGGUACAAACUGCCAUUUGGGUUUUUUUACUAGCCACUGGGAAAGAUUCUGAAUCAGGGGAAGAUGAUCAUUGAUGAUAAGGAGACUAUUGAAAUAGUUGAGGAGAUGAUGAAGCUAAAAAUUUGGGAAAUAGAUGUGUACUGAUAUUGCCUGAGAAGGCUCGUGCUUUAGACUGGAAGGAGGAUGAUGGGGUUUUGAAACAUGUGCCUGAACCUGCCCCACAACCUCCAUUGAAAGCUUGUAUCAUUGAGGAGCUCCCAAAUGGUAUUGAUGCAGUUGCAUAUGAGGUUGGGAUUCCAUCUGCACCACCUUUGUACGAUAAAUAGAUAGAGAUUAAUGAAUAUGAUGGAAUUGCCUCAGAAGAUGACUUGGCCAAUGACCAUAGAAAGGAAGAUGAAUAGGCAAACUGAUCCAUCUACAUGGUGGGGAUUAGUCACUUCAUUUUGUGUAGAUGCAGGCAAUAAUGAAUUUGAUGGCCUAAGAAGAUGACUUGGCCAGUGAACAUGAGAAUGCCAUACCAAAAAAAAUCCAACAAAGAAUUCAAUCCGAAAACAAAGUUUAAUCAAUUCAAGUUUGUGUUAGGGAUGGAGUUUGGUAGUGUAGAGUUAUUGAGGAAUGCUUUGAAAGAGCAUUUUAUUCCUACUGAAAGAAGAUACAAAAUCAUUAGCAAUGACACAAAGAGUUUCAGAGUUGAAGUAGGUUGUAAAUGGCUGAUUUGUGCUCAUGUUUUAAAAACUGACAAUAGGACCUUUAGAGUCAACACAUUGGUUGAUGUACACACAUGUGGGUUGGUGUUGGACAAUAACCUUGUUACCUGAACUUGGUUGGCCAAAAAAAAUUCUAGAACAGUUUAGAUUGCAUCCAGAUAUGUCUUACCCUACUUUCAAGUGUCAAAGACAAAACACUCACAUAUCAUAAAGUGAAAUUCUAUAAAUCUCAAGAGAAGACAAAAAAGAUUUUGGAAGGGUCAAUUGAGGAGCAAUAUGCCAUUCUAGAAGAUUAUUGUAAGCAACUGCUGCAUACUAAUCCUUGUAGUACAAUAAUAAUCAAGACCAACCUAGUUGAUAACAAGAGAAUCUUUGAAAGAGUUUAUGUCUAUCUAAAGGCAUGCAAUGAUGGAUUUAGGAAUGGUUGUAGGCCAUUUAUAGGCCUUGAUGAUUGUUUUUUGAAGGGUUAUUGUAAGGGUAUGUUGCUUGCGACCAUUGGGAUUGAUGAGUCUAAUUAUAUGUUUCCGAUCGCUUAUGUAGUUGUGGAGAAGGAGAAUAUAGAUUCUUGGACUUGGUUUUUGAAGUUGGUCAUUGACGACUUGGAGAUUGAGGACCCAAGUAGGCUGUGUAUGAUAAGUGAUAAGCCUUGUAUCUGUUGUGGGUGAUGCAGCUAUUAGAUUCUGUGUUAGACAUCUCCAUUCUAACUUCAAGAAGGAACACCCAAGGCUGUUAUUGAAGCAACUUCUAUGGUUAGUAGCAAAGGCUACAACUAAAGUGGAAUUUGAAAAACGAAUGGAAGAUAUUAAGGUAGUUAGUGAAAUGGCUUACAAUUGGCUUGCUCAAAAGAAGAAAUCUGAGUGGACUAGAACACAAUUUACUGAAAAUGUGAAGUGUGAUAUUUUGUUCAACAACCUAUGUGAAAGUUUUAAUGCAACAAUCUUGGAUGCUAGGGAGAAGCCUAUAAUUACCCUACUUGAGAAGAUCUGUUUUUUUUUUGUUGAUGAGUAGGUUAUUCAAGAAGCGAGAGAGUGUGAUAAAAUGGGUUCACCUAGUUGAUACAAGGAUAUUGAAAAUCAUUGAGAAGAAUAAAGAGGUUGCCUAAAACUAUUACACAACUAGAGCUGAUGUAACUCUUUUUUAGGUGCACUUUUUAAACCUUCAAAACUUUGUUGUUGACUUGGUGAAGAAAACUUGCAGCUGUAGGAGAUACCAACUUACUGGAAUCCCAUGUGGCCAUGCAUUGGCUUGUAUAUGGGGUAGGAGGUUAGAUGUUAUGGACUUUGUCCAUGACUAUUACAAAAAGGAAGCAUUUAUGGCAGCCUAUGAAGGAAUGAUACAACCUAUGCCAAGCCUUGAUUUGUGGCCAGAAAAAUGGAACAAUCCAAUCUUCCCACCAACACCAACCAAUUUACCUGGUAGACCAAAGAAGCAGAGGAGGAGAGACAAGGAUGAACCAGCCCCAAAUGCAACAAAAGGUAGAAGGUUUGGUCAGAUAAAGACUUGAUCAAAUUGCAAGCAACCUGGCCAUAUUCAACCUACUUGCACAAACUUUACUAUUAAUGAGCCCCGUCUUGUUAAGAAGAGAAGUCGUCUACCACUGGUCAAUCCAACUCAAGAAACUAUCAAGAGGAAGGAGAGAUUUAGAAAGCAGAAAACUAAAGAUGCUAACACAUGUUCCAGACCUGCAACUAGGCUAGCUGCAAGAGAAAGAGGUAGUAGCCCACAAGCUCCCAGAACUAGGUGGAAGAAGCAAUGGAUAGAUUCUCUAAAGAUGAUGUCUUUUGUUCCUUUUUUUUGGGACAUUUGCUGAUUUAGAAAACUGUUAAGUAUUAGUCAAAUGUAGUUGCAGAAUGUCAAUUACAUAGUUCAGGGGGUCUUUUUUUUUUUUUUGGAAAUGUGUAACUCUUGGUUAGAUUUGUAUAUUUCUAAUUGUAGAUGUUGUAUAGCAGGUGCUUUUGGGUCAUGUCAUUACAUGUAAAUGGUGUAUAUCCAUUGUACAUCUGCUAAAUAUGUUGGGUAGUUUGGACAUGUUUGUUUAUUGAACAUGCCAUUAUAAUGAACAAGUUAUUUAUACUA